UUGGAGGGCAAGUCUGGUGCCAGCAGCCGCGGUAAUUCCAGCUCCAAUAGCGUAUAUUAAAGUUGUUGCAGUUAAAAAGUUCGUAGUUGAAUUUCGGGAUCGACGUGACGGUCGUGCCUCACGGGGCACGAACUGCCGCUGUCGAUUUCUCACCUUCUGGAGAAGCUCGAUGUCCUUAACUGGGCGUCUUGUGGAACCAGGACCUUUACCUUGAAAAAAUUAGAGUGUUUAAAGCAGGCAUUUUUUGCUCGAAUACAUUAGCAUGGAAUAAUAGAAUAGGACGGCAUGGUUCUAUUUUGUUGGUUUCUAGGAUCACCGUAAUGAUUAAUAGGGAUAGUUGGGGGCAUUAGUAUUCAAUUGUCGGAGGUGAAAUUCUUGGAUUUAUUGAAGACUAACUACUGCGAAAGCAUUUGCCAAGGAUGUUUUCAUUAAUCAAGAACGAAAGUUAGGGGAUCGAAGACGAUCAGAUACCGUCGUAGUCUUAACCAUAAACUAUGCCGACUAGGAAUCAGACGAUGUUAAUUUUUUAAUGACUCGUUUGGCACCUUACGGGAAAC
rnacentral:rRNA from 1 species